rnacentral:rRNA from 1 species
GCGCGAAAACUUUACAAUGCUGGCAACAGCGAUAAGGGAACCUCGAGUGCCAGGUUACAAAUCUGGCUGUCGAGAUGCCUAAAAAGCAUUUCAUAGCAAGGGCCGGGCAAGACCGGUGCCAGCCGCCGCGGUAACACCGGCGGCUCGAGUGGUAACCGUUAUUAUUGGGUCUAAAGGGUCUGUAGCCGGCCGGAUAAGUCUCUUGAGAAAUCUGGCAGCUUAACUGUCAGGCUUUCAGGAGAUACUGUCUGGCUCGAGGCCGGGAGAGGUGAGAGGUACUGCAGGGGUAGGGGUGAAAUCUUGUAAUCCGUGGAGGACCACCAGUGGCGAAGGCGUCUCACCAGAACGGACCUUACGGCAAGGGACGAAAGCUAGGGGCACGAACCG